CUGUUAUGUAAUAUAGAGGCCGUUUCAAAUAAAAGUUGCACAAAUUAAAAAAAAUGAUGCCUUCCAAAAUACAACGUAUGGCAUAUUAUAUAGAGUGAAAUGCUACAAACAUUUUAAUGCGCAUAGAAAAAGAAUUUAAGUAAUUUUUUUUUUAUCUUUUAAUGAAAUAGUAAAAGAUCGUAAAAUGAGUAUACAAUGAUAAUAAUAAUAAAAAAACAACACACAAAUAACCUACGUUUUUAUAAUAUGAACACGAAUGAUAGUUCCAGUAAAAUAAAAAGCUUGGUAUGGACACGAUUGGGGGUUUAUUAAAAAAUGUACACGUUUGAGCGUUUAUACAAGUGACACGCUUUGGCGCCCUUUGACAACUAGACAUGUUUUUGCAGUUCAGUGACGUCGAUGUGGACACGUUUGGGGGAAUCGGAC
rnacentral:lncRNA from 1 species